AAAAAAAAAGCUGUGGAAUACAAAUAUGCAUUAAAUUAAAAUUGUUAAUUCAAACAUAAUUUUACCUCAAGAUGUCAUUUACAUUUAACCUUAUUAACAUAUAAUUAUUAUUAUUUUAUUUAUAAUGUUAUAAUUUUACUUGUAUUUAGUUCAAUAUGGUGUGUGCAGUUAGUAAUUUUUCUAAUACUAAUUUGAAUACAUAUUAGAUUUAUAAUGAAUUUUAACAAAUUUAUUUUAAAAGUAAAUACAUUUAGUACAUUUUUAAUUUUACUCCAAUGAUGCAGUAGCUAUAUUUGUAUUCACCCAAUUAAAUACGGAGUGUGUAGAUGUUACAGCAGUAGCUUGUUGUCCGGCCCGGUGGUGUUUGCAUUAACCGAAAACUGUAGAAUCGGGAUCUAGUGCUACGCAGUUUUAAUGAGCUUCUCAAGCCUUCUGAAACUCUCUCGUUCCCUGCUGUACAGUCAACUUCACACACGCCGCCGUAUGCGUUCCCCACCCUUGACAGCACUGACAUAAACACUGUGAUGUUCCUGUCAGUCCCAGCUGCACGACCGUUAACAUGUUUCCAAAUCAUCCCAUCCACUCUAAUAAGAUGACUGUACACUGUCCACUGUGGGCUGAUUUGGGUCGGGCAGGAACAGAGAGGACUUCUGGGCUUUUGAGGGGGCGCUGGAACAGAUGUUCAUGAAAAGCCGAUUGUAUUCCUUCUGAUGGUCGGGCGGCUGAAGUGGAGGUAGGCAGUGGAACAGAUGAAAGAGAAGCUGAAGAAUAAGAGUGUGGAACUCGCUCUCGUUGCCCGCAGUGAGGCAGAGGCCAGAGAGAGAUGCAGAUGGGCGCAUCCUCAGUGAUCGAAGGCUGAUGGGUUUGUCAACAGGUAAUCCAUCCAUUUAUGAGAAGGAUUGAUGGAUCUGAGGCAAACGCAACUGAGGUAAAGCCCACAUCUAUCUUGGCUAAGGGAUGUGGUCCACCGACAGGCUGGGAGGAGGAAUUACACGCACGAGCACGACGGCCCCUCAUAAAUCACUGCCGCCCAGGGAAAGUGUCACGUUCCAGCGCUUGGUGGGAAUUGGGCAGAGGAAACAGGAAGGGGAGCCGAUGA
ensembl:lncRNA